rnacentral:tRNA from 2 species
CGGGGUGUGGCUCAGUUGGUAGAGCACUAUCUUAGGGAGGUAGGGGCCGCGUGUUCGAAUCACGUCACUCCGACUA